GCCUUCGUGGUACAGUGGUCAGCACACUGGACGCGUAACCGAGAGGUCCGUGGUUCGAUUCCCGGCGAAGGCG
rnacentral:tRNA from 1 species